AAAUACCUCAAAAUGAAUUCUAUGAAGUGCUGUUUGAUAUAUAAUAUUAUGAAGGGCCCGCGUUUGGAGAUGUCUCAAAAAAAAACUAGAGCUUAUUAUUUGGAUAUGAAAAUUUAGUUUUCGACAAUGCUACAAGAUACUAAAGGAUUGGAUUCUACGUCUCGGUUUAAAUCCUAAAUUGCCUCGAAUAACAUAUGUGAUUAAUAUGAAAGAAUAUCAAGAGGGUUUUAACAGCAAAACAAGGAAUAAAUGAAAGGU